rnacentral:rRNA from 1 species
UACAGAGGUCUCAAGCGUUGUUCGGAUUCAUUGGGCGUAAAGGGUGCGUAGGUGGUGGGGUAAGUCGGAUGUGAAAUCCCGGGGCUCAACCCCGGAACUGCAUUCGAAACUGCCUUGCUCGAGUACUGGAGAGGAGACUGGAGUUUACGGUGUAGCAGUGAAAUGCGUAGAUAUCGUAAGGAAGACCAGUGGCGAAGGCGAGUCUCUGGACAGUUACUGACACUGAGGCACGAAGGCCAGGGGAGCAAACGGG